GCUUUCCGCACCUGCGAAAGGAGUUUCAAUGUUGGAGAACGUAAAUAAAUGAUUCACCGCACUGCACCGCACAGCAUUCCCCCUCGCCCUACGACUUGCUGCGCAGUUUCAAAACAACGUUUGUUACUCUGUCCAUGAUCCUAACCACUCGACGGAUGCUGGUCAUACGUCCCUUCUCGUACCAGCGCUCACCUCGUUUCAGCUGGAUCGAUGGGUCUACGUUAAACUCCUGGCGGAAGUACUUUCGCCAGAUGUAAUCAUCUUUGGACAGUUUGUACCAACGUUUGCAGCAUUGGCCAGCGUUCAGGACAUCGCGCGCUCGAAGUUGAAGAAAGAUUUUUAUAAACAGCGGCUCGGGCAUAAACACCCACGGGCUGUUGUCCAUGUACGUUCCCCCGUCCUCUCCGUCCUGCUCGCUGCAGCCGGAGCUUGACGAACUGUUUGACUCCACACUUUCGCGAGCACCGCGCUGAUGCACGGUCUUGCCGCGGAUCCUAUCGGCCAACGGCACAUCAUCACCGAUUUCCGCCAUGGCUUUCGUAGUUGAUUGGGAGUACGCCCCCGCUGCAGCUUUUCACACACGGUGGAGGAAGUUGCGCCGUGCACUUUCACUAUCGUUUUUCUGUCUGGUAUACUGCUGGGUUUCCUUUCUUUUCUCUCCGCUUCUCUCUUUCUAUGCGAAGUACGGUAAACGAAGCGUACGCAUGAUACAAUUGAUUUGAACAAA